rfam:Ovis aries breed Texel chromosome 3, whole genome shotgun sequence.
UUCCUGGUGGUCCACUGGUUAAGACUCUGUGCUCCUGAUGCAGAGAGCCCAGGUUUGAUUCCUGGCUGGGGAA